GCUCUUUCCCGGGAAGGAUGAAAUCUGACCCCUAGGCUUUAAAUGUACACGUUAACUUUCCCAGAUACUGCUUUAGAUAGCAGGACAUGUAGCAUAGUUGUCUACCUCUUCUUCUGAAGGUGGAACAUAAAAUAAACAGAAGUAGAAAAGUCAAGGAGAAAGAGUUAGCAGACAGGCAGCUGACUUAGCGUGCCAGGAAAGAUAUUUCCUUGCAAGUAACUUGGUUUCAACUCCUUAAUUUCUUAUUCAGCUAAUUCUGAAUGGAAACCAAACAAGCCUUUGCUGAGGCAAGAAUUAAGUCUCGUUAAACCAGACUAGUCUUUGUUUGGUAGGUCAGAACAUAUUCAAACUCUUAUAAAUCUUUCAGCCUUAUGCAUAGUGAUUCAACAUGAAUAAGUGGAUUGAGCUUGCCCCAUACUUGCUUCAUUUCUCACCUAUUAUGUUGCUGCAGAACCAGGUUGCAACCAGCAAAGGAAUCAUCAAUUCAGUCGAUCAAUAUAUGCAACUGUGAAAAGUAACCGCUCAUGUUUAGUCUUUGCAGAGCCCAAGACACUCUACAUCUUCAACUAGGAUAACACAGGACUGCCAGAGGCAGGACACAGAGCAGAGAAAUGCUUGAGGUUUAACACAUUAUGCUUGACACUCUGGCAUCAAGUAAGAUGACUCAACAUUUUAAGGAAUGACUCAACCUGGAAAAGCACAAGAACCACUGAUAUGUCAAGACAUUAUUUCAAGCUCAACUUAAGCAACACAACCUGUCAAAACUGUUCAAAUUAAAUUUGCCACUCUGCAACUAAUCAUUCAUGCUUAGAUUUAGUACUGUUUACAGUUGUAUUGCUUACAGAACUUGUGGCUUCUGCACACAGGAUGGUAAUCUAGAUUGCUGACUAGCAAAAUAAAGGUGAUAGUGAAGUGGUUAGUAGGUUAGGUUCAGUAAAUUGUCUUCAGGUAAGUAUAGAGGUUGCAGAAAUGUUUCCAUUUGUAUUUCACAGUAGUUUGCAUUCCAGUUCACUACACAAAAUAAUUUUUAGAAGCUAGUUAUUUCCAAGCCAAGACCAAACACAGUAGGUUCUGUUUUUACUGACUCUAUUAGUAUUGUUUGGAAUCUUUUAACCCUCCUUUUUCAUGCCAGUGACAAUAACAAAAGUAAUGCCCUUUAAUGUCCAUAGCUACACAAUUUCAGUAUGUCUCAAAUUCCAAAGAUCUGUAGAUUCAAUAACAUUUAUAAUACCAUAAGCUUAGAGUCAAAGAAUGGUUUGAGUUGGAAGGGACCCUUAAAGGCCAUCUGUCCCACUCCCUGUACUGAACAGGGACACCCACAGCUCCAUCAGUGCUCAGAGCCCUGUCCAGUCUGACCUUGGCAGUCUGCAGGGACGGGGCACCCACCAUCUCUCUGUACUGGGGACUCCACAUCUGGAUGCAGCACUCCAGGUGAGGUCUCACAGCACAGAGCAGAGGGUCAGGAUCCACUCCCUUACCCUGCUGGCCAUGUUGCUUUGGGUGCAGCCAAGAACAUCGUUGGCUUUCUGGGCUGCGAGAGCCCAGAACUAAUUACCGAAUUACUGAUAAAUUGAUAACCGAGAGUUAUUAAACUCUCAGUAUCCAAAAUAGUUCGGUUGCAUAUAAACUGUUUAUUUUGAACGGUUCUGUUAACUCUCAAAACCCACUCAAGAAUUGUUCUGGAACUAGAAAACAUUGCAAGGAGCCUUUGAAUGAUUCAGCAGCAUGGAUGGUAUGGUUCAGGAGCCUAUGCUUAUGCCAUUCUCCUUGGAGGCAUUCAAGGCCAGGCUGGAUGUGGCUCUGGGCAGCCUGGUGGGGUGGUUGGCGACCCUGCACAUAGCAUGGGGUUGAAACUAGAGAAUAAUUGUGGUCCUUUUCAACCCAGGUCAUGCUGUGAUUCUAUGAUUCUCCUGCCUAAUUUACUCAUGAAAGUUGUACUGGAGUGGAAGCUCAGUAUGAGAGAAUACCAUCAGGCAACACCAUGUCUGUGAUAUAUCUGUUGGAGUUCCAGAUGUGGAAAGGCUGAUAAACCCACUGGAUACUGUCUACUACCUUAGGGAAGUAAGGAAAAAGAAAAAGGGACUCCAAUAUAAGGGUUCUGCCAUCUUUAAUAGUAGAAAAAUGCCCUAGAGAAGAGCUCCUAAAUAGGUGGGAGAAAAUAUUUUACCAUCAGAGAUUUGAAGAUCUCUGAAAAUGAAGACACAACAGCAAUAGAUUUUCAAGGAGAAACUACCUUGAAGUAACAGAGUGUUUAAUUUAUCAAAUAAGAACAUAAUAAAAACCUAUGGCUGAAAGGUGGAAGGAGAGACAUUCAAAUGAAGAAUCAGGCAUGUAUUUUUAACCAUGUGAGCAUAUGUAACCAUAACAGAUUGCCAGGGAAAGGGAUGGAGUUCCUAAUAUUGUGUCUUCACAUCAGGUAUAGGCAACUUCCUGAAGAAGCACUGAUCAAGACAUUUGCCACCAAACCAAAGCCAGAAUGGAAUGUUAAUGUUCUCUGAGAAUGAUUGGAUUAGAAAACCUAACACAUCUUCAUGCCAUGAGGAUCUGCAAAGUCUUCUCUCUUAUUCCAGUGGCAUAAAGUAUGAACAUGGUCCCUCAGCAACUUUGGUGAGAUAGAAGGGAUAAAGCAAAGGCAGGAAGGAUUCAGGAAAAGAAGCAGAGUGAAAAUUUAGGAUGACAGGAAAAAAGGCUUCAUUUGAGAGAUCAGAAUCUCCCUUUCUUUCCCGUGACUGUUUCGUUGUACUCUCCUUGGCAAAACACUUAGAAGAGGUAAUGCUGAUCCUUCUUAGUAAACUAAAUAGCUCCAGAACGUAUUCACAAGCACUGAAAUCUGAUAAUCUAUAAUAUUAAACUGUGCAAAUAGGAGGAAUUUGGCUUUGGGUAUCUAGCCAUCACCCAAACUGUUAGCAAAUCUGGAAAAUUCAAGGACCCAUGCAUCCUCCUUGCUUGUGGAGUUAAGGGAGUUCAAUACUGUGGACAUGGGUCAUUCUAUGCCACCUAGUCUCAGUGCCAGAGAAUUAGUUUAAGCAUGUUUAAUUUACUAGUACAGACACAAUUCUUGUUUCCUGAAGCUGUGGUAAUUACCUAAGGAGAUAUAAGCCAGUUUGAGUUAACUUACUGUAUACUUAAUAGUUUUUUGGAAAAGAUAAAGGAUUGAAGAUAAAAGUCUGGGACUUUGCUCAUGCUUGACAUUCUUCUCAGAACUCUGAAGAUAUGUACUAGACUACAAUUUUUAUUUGAAAGUCAUCUGAACAGUUUUGCAAGGUUUCAUCAUCUUGUAUUGUCUGACUGUUGGAAUACACCCACUGAAGUACGAAUCUCCCACAUUUUUUACCUGGAAAAAAUUCUGCACAACCAUUGUAAGGCCUUUUUCCCAAGGCGGCAAAAUCUUAAGCCCAGGAAAGGAAAGCAAGAUUCAUUUCCUUCAAGUGAGGAGCUCUCUGACUUCGAGCUAUCCUUAUGUGUGCUCAUCCAUGUGAGAAGAAGAGGUGAUCUACAGGGACUAUUCAAGUGAGACUGCCCACAGUUCAUGAUGAAGGAAAUCGGUCCAUAUACUUUCUGAAUCCAACAUAUGAAGAUCAUUGCUGUUCAAACUUGGCCCUGACCUUGAGAUACGAGACCUUCCUGUGGGUUGCUGAAGGAGACCCAUAUCGAUGGCAGGAGCUGUAGAGCAUGUUGUCUUGCAGGUAGUACUCCAUAACAUGGCUCCUGGAACAUAUUCACCAAAUGUCUCCACAUCCAUAAAGGACAGCACGGAUGGAAACAUCAUGAGAUAAUGCAAAGAAGGAAACAAAAAAAAAAACAAAAGCAGCAAAAAAAAAAAAAAAAAAAAAAAAGAUUUUUUAAACUUUUUGUUGUUAUUGUUGUAGUUUAAUCUGAAAAGAAACAAUGAAUUUUAAUGAUUUUUUUUCUGGAUAUUGAUCUCUAUAUUACAAUUUUGUGUAAUAAUGAACUUAAGGACAUCCUUAACUUUAAUAAUAUGUGAACUUUCAUUGUUUUCAGCAUGUCACAUGCAAACUGAGCAUGAGAUAGAGAAAUGCCUGCAGAUUCUUAAUGAACAGAGAAUAUACUACUAGCAAAGAGAGAUCUAAAAGAAAGAGAUAAUUUUGUACUAGCAGCAGAAAAACUGAGCUGAAGAACUUCAAACUGAGCAUUUGUCUAAAAUGUGAAAUUAUGUAUCCAGUCUAGCAAGAAAAAUUAUGUUAAAAAAGUUUUUAAAAAAUAAGAAAAAAU
rnacentral:lncRNA from 1 species